CGAAGGGGGCUAGCGUUGUUCGGAUUUACUGGGCGUAAAGCGCACGUAGGCGGAUCGAUCAGUCAGGGGUGAAAUCCCAGGGCUCAACCCUGGAACUGCCUUUGAUACUGUCGAUCUGGAGUAUGGAAGAGGUGAGUGGAAUUCCGAGUGUAGAGGUGAGAUUCGUAGAUAUUCGGAGGAACACCAGUGGCGAAGGCGGCUCACUGGUCCAUUACUGACGCUGAGGUGCGAAAGCGUGAGGAGCAAACAGGAUUAGAUACCCUGGUAGUCCACGCCGUAAACGAUGAAUGUUAGCCGUCGGGCAGUAUACUGUUCGGUGGCGCAGCUAACGCAUUAAACAUUCCGCCUGGGGAGUACGGUCGCAAGAUUA
rnacentral:rRNA from 1 species